ensembl:snRNA U1 U1 spliceosomal RNA
AGAUUUACCUGGCAGGGGAGAUACCAUGAUCAAGAGGGUGGUUCACCCAGGGCGAGGCUCAGCCAUUGCACUUUGGCUGUGCUAAACACCUGCGAAUUCCCCAAACGUGGGAAUCUCGACUGCAUCAUUUCUGGUAGUGGGGGACUGGGUUCGCACUCUCCCCUG